rnacentral:lncRNA from 1 species
GCUUUUCUCCAGGUGUCACCGCCUCUGCUGCUGAGAGUGGAAGAGAGGAAAGGACCUCCAGACAGCAAGUGUCCUCCCCACCAUGGGGCAGACCUGCCAGCGAGGAUGGGGUACAGAAACUGAAAAUUCAAUCCGGCCCCCGCUUACUGAAAGUAAGGUAAGAGACCUCAAUGUUAUUUCCAUUUCCUUCUGUAAUGUUUUCUGUAGAAGAAACUUAGCAUAUGGCAAUUCCCUUUGGAAACUCUGAACAUGGUUUUACUGAGAAGCCCUGCAGUGGAUUCUGGGGUGAGGGCCCAGACCACCCCCCAGGGCAGAGGCUUUAGGAGAAGACUUUGUUCCUAGGCUCCCUUCUUAACCUUUUUUGAAUAUUAUUGUUUUAUUGGAGUAUAGCUGCUUUACACUGUUGUGUUAAUCAGCCAUGCAUAUAAAUAUAUCCACUCUUUUUUUGGAUUUCCUUCCCAUUUAGGUCACCACAAAGCACUGAAUUAGGGCUCCCUGAACUAUACAGUAGGUUCUCAUUUGUUAUCUAUUUUAUACAUAGUAUCAAUAG